UGAGCGGCAAAAGCUCAAUUUGAAUCUGGUACCUUCGGUGUCCCGAGUUGUAAUUUGGAGAGGGCAACUUUGGGGCCGUUCCUUGUCUAUGUUCCUUGGAACAGGACGUCAUAGAGGGUGAGAAUCCCGUGUGGCGAGGAGUGCGGUUCUUUGUAAAGUGCCUUCGAAGAGUCGAGUUGUUUGGGAAUU
rnacentral:rRNA from 1 species